GCCAGACUCCUACGGGAGGCAGCAGUGGGGGAUAUUGCACAAUGGGGGAAACCCUGAUGCAGCGACGCCGCGUGGGUGAAGAAGCGCCUCGGCGCGUAAAGCCCUGUCAGCAGGGAAGAAAAUGACGGUACCUGAAGAAGAAGCCCCGGCUAACUACGUGCCAGCAGCCGCGGUAAUACGUAGGGGGCAAGCGUUAUCCGGAUUCACUGGGUGUAAAGGGAGCGUAGACGGCGACGCAAGUCUGGAGUGAAAGCCCGGGGCCCAACCCCGGGACUGCUCUGGAAACUGCGUCGCUGGAGUACGGGAGGGGCAGGCGGAAUUCCUGGUGUAGCGGUGAAAUGCGUAGAUAUCAGGAGGAACACCGGCGGCGAAGGCGGCCUGCUGGACAGCAACUGACGCUGAGGCGCGAAAGCGUGGGGAGCAAACAGGAUUAGAUACCCCAGUAC
rnacentral:rRNA from 1 species